UGUAGGUGGAAGCAGCGGUGGAGGAGGAGGAUGAGGUAGCCAACACUGUUUUCAUAUAUGUAUAUAUAUAUAUAUAUAUAUAUAUAUAUUUAAUUGUGGUAGCCCCCAAAAUAUUGGGACAUAUAAAAAGACAACUCUGUUUCGCAGAGUAGCUGUUGACAUUAUAGUUGCGCAGGCACUUUGUUGACUGUAGAGAACCUCGGGCCAAUCGCACAUCCCCAUAAUGGCGACUUUGCAUUCGGAUGUCAUCAAUUUCAACUUUUGAUGCCAGUUUCUGCGCCUAUCAUGGUGACCAUGGGUAACGGGGAGUCAGGGUUCCAUUCCGUACAGGGACCCUGAGAAAUGGCUACCACAUACAAGGAAGGCAGCA